rnacentral:misc_RNA from 1 species
GAUGAAGAACGCAGCGAAAUGCGAUACGUAAUGUGAAUUGCAGAAUUCAGUGAAUCAUCGAGUCUUUGAACGCACAUUGCGCCCUCUGGUAUUCCGGAGGGCAUGCCUGUUCGAGCGUCAUUUCACCACUCAAGCCUGGCUUGGUAUUGGGCGCCGCGGUGUUCCGCGCGCCUCAAAGUCUCCGGCUGAGCUGUCCGUCUCCAAGCGUUGUGAUUUCAUUAAUCGCUUCGGAGUGCGGGCGGCCGCGGCCGUUAAAUCUUUCACAAGGUUGACCUCGGAUCAGGUAGGGAUACCCGCUGAACUUAAGCAUAUCAAUAAGCGGAGGA